rnacentral:lncRNA from 1 species
UCUUGUUUCCUUAGUGCUCAAAUAGUUAAUGUAUAAACUAAAAAAUGCAUUUUUGUCAAAUUAUGAAAUUAGAUACUCAUGUUUAGUUGAGAAUAUGUGAUAAUUUGUGAGUUAGUUGGAAACACUUGCUCUAGUCAAGAGAGAUUUUGCGAAGUUUCAUAUGAUAAAAAGCACAGGAACAAAAUUUUUGUUAAAUAUGAUUUUCUGUUUUGUUUUUGUAUGUUUUUAUUGUACUACUUUUUUGUAAUUGAAAUAUUAAUUGGAAGCGAAGAAUAUAUGUGUAUUUAUAAGACUGAUUAAAUCAAUUUAAGAUUAUUAUGUAAUUAUGAAAUAUGAAAAGUAUAAAGCCGAGUUUAUUAUACAAAACAACUACAGCAAAUAAAAGUUAAGAUUAAAUUGAAGAAUGCAUGCCAUUAUUCAAUGCCACAUUGCAUAUAAAGUGUCUUAAUAAAAAAAAGCAUUAAUAGUCUAUCCUAUGUUGAAGCAAUUUUGUGUGUUAACUUAGGUUAAAUG